rnacentral:tRNA from 1 species
GGCCUUGUAUUCAUUUUUUGUGAUUGUAGAAUGCAAUUCUGUAGGGGUGAGUUUGGUGCUUACCAAGGCCU